GACAGAGGUGCCAAGCGUUAGGCGGAAUCACUGGGCUUAAGGCGUGUGUAGGCGGAUCGUUAAGUACCUUGUGAAAUCCCACGGCUCAACCGUGGAACUGCUGGGUAUACUGGCGGUCUUGAGCCACCUAGGGGCAACUGGAACAAGCGGUGGAGCGGUGAAAUGCGUAGAUAUCGCUUGGAACGCCAACGGUGAAAACAGGUUGCUGGGGGUGUGCUGACGCUGAGACACGAAAGCCAGGGGAGCGAACGGG
rnacentral:rRNA from 1 species